UAACGCGUGAGGAACCUGCCUCAAAGAGGGGGACAACAGUUGGAAACGACUGCUAAUACCGCAUAAGCCCACGGCUCGGCAUCGAGCAGAGGGAAAAGGAGCAAUCCGCUUUGAGAUGGCCUCGCGUCCGAUUAGCUAGUUGGUGAGGUAACGGCCCACCAAGGCGACGAUCGGUAGCCGGACUGAGAGGUUGAACGGCCACAUUGGGACUGAGACACGGCCCAGACUCCUACGGGAGGCAGCAGUGGGGAAUAUUGCACAAUGGGGGAAACCCUGAUGCAGCGACGCCGCGUGGAGGAAGAAGGUCUUCGGAUUGUAAACUCCUGUUGUUGAGGAAGAUAAUGACGGUACUCAACAAGGAAGUGACGGCUAACUACGUGCCAGCAGCCGCGGUAAAACGUAGGUCACAAGCGUUGUCCGGAAUUACUGGGUGUAAAGGGAGCGCAGGCGGGAAGACAAGUUGGAAGUGAAAUCUAUGGGCUCAACCCAUAAACUGCUUUCAAAACUGUUUUUCUUGAGUAGUGCAGAGGUAGGCGGAAUUCCCGGUGUAGCGGUGGAAUGCGUAGAUAUCGGGAGGAACACCAGUGGCGAAGGCGGCCUACUGGGCACCAACUGACGCUGAGGCUCGAAAGUGUGGGUAGCAAACAGGAUUAGAUACCCUGGUAGUCCACACCGUAAACGAUGAUUACUAGGUGU
rnacentral:rRNA from 1 species